rnacentral:lncRNA from 1 species
AAUGCCAUCCACACAUGAAUCUAAUGCAAGCAGUAGUCUAAAGUUUCAUAUGAGAAAACAUAUGUUACAUUGUGAGUGAAAUCUUUUGAAUAUGACGUUUGUGAAUAUGCAUGCUUUUCAAGUGGGAAUCUGAAGGUAUAUAUCAGAAAACAUGCAGGAAAGAAAUACUUCACAUGUGAUGUUUGUGAUUAUUGAUGUAAUACAAAUAGUUAUCUGAAGAGACAUGUGAGAAUACAUACAGGAGAAUGCUUUCAAUGUGGUACAUGUGAUUACGGAUUACACCAGAAGGACAAACUAUAGUUUAUACAACCACCUCAAUUGCUUAGUUUCCACUUCGAGUGUGGGAGGUCGUGGGUUUGAUCCCUGGCUACGUCAAAUCAAAGACGUGAAAAAUGAUACCAGUUCCUCCCUUGCUUGGUGCUCAGCGUUGAAAGGGAAACUGGCCUCUUCUCUCAUACCCUAAUGGCGAUGGAUUCCAUCAGGAAUGUGGUGUUGAGAGUGGUUGAUAUAAGUUGUAGAACUUCCUUCACAAUCGACCUAAAAUAAGUUCUGUAUAAAGAUGAUAAACUAUAGUUUGAAGAGACAUAUGAGAAUACAUACAGGAAUGAAAUCUUUUAAAUGUGAUGUAUGUGAUUAUGCAUGUUAUAAGAAAGCAGGCAGGAGAGAAAUAUUUAAGUGUUAUCUUUGUGAUUAUGAAUGAUCUGAAAGCAAGUACAGAGAAUACAACAGGAGAGAAAUGCUUUAGGUGUGAUACUUAUAUAUUAUACUUAUACUUAUACAUUAUAAAAUCAGUCACAUAUGAGAGUCCAUACAGGAGAAAAAGUGUGAUGAUUGACUAUGCAUGCAAUACAAACUAAUCUGAAGUUACAUCGGAGAAUGCAUUCAGGUGGGAAAUAAUUUAAAUAUGGUUCUGAUUACGCAUGUAUUUCAAAUAGUUAUCUGAACAACAAUGUGAGAAAACAUACAGAAGAGAAAUAAUUCACAUUUAAUAAAAUCUGUAAAUACAUGUAUGUAAUUAUGCAAGAAAUAAAGACAGUAAUCUGCUAACACAGAUGAGAUGAGAAUACAUAUUGGAGGGAAGAAUUGUUUUAACUGUUGAUAAACCUGGGUUAAUUAAAAAUGUAAUUGUAAGCAAUAACAAUUAAAUUACAUUUCCGAAGUAAUCAAAUGUACUUUGUAAUUGGGUCAUUUAUCAAUUACAUUUAAUUGUAAUUUAAUUAAUUACAGAUCAGUUUUAGGAUGUAUUUGACAAUUACAUAAAUUUCAGUUACUUCCCAAUUACCUGGCACAUGCUAAUCCAAUUUGUUGAACAAAUAGUACAAUAAUGUAUAUAUAUACGUUUAUUACCAGUGACACUUAACUUUAACAUGCUAAUUUGCAUUUCGUAGCUGUAUAAAAAUCAAACAAUAGAAUAUUGUGAUAGAUGUUAAUCCCUUGGACAUAGCUCCUUUGUUCCGAUAUAAUUGUUUUAUUAGAACCAGCUGGUAAUCUUUGAUGAUGAUUGUCACUAUGAUUGGGAGAAAAUGAUCAAAUUAUGAUUUGAAAUUGUUAUAUGCAUCAUUAUUAUUUACAUUUUUAUCGGAGCAAAAAUUUAAAUGGUUAGCAUUUAGUUUAAUAAUUUUUUAUCUGUGAUAAAAUUUGUUGUAUUAAAUGAUACGAACAACAUAACAUUUGACACCACAGUCUUACAAGAUAAAAAAUAUAAUUAUUAUUAUAGACAUUAUGAGUAUUCUACAGUUUUAGUGACAUAGUUAUUCUAGGAUGGCUCAUGAAUGUUUUGCAACUUCUUUUCAAUGUGGCCCUUCAGAUAACAUUGUAGUGCAAGAAUAAAAUUUUAAAUAUAUAUGUUUAAAAUGUAAAUGAUUAAACACUGAACUAUACUAGUUAAGUUUGAAAAAUAUUACAGAACCAUGAUCAUAUAUACGUCAGAGAAAUUCAGACCUCAGAGAUAUACCUGACUUCACAUGCAUCUUCUCUAACCGAAUUCUGCUUGACAAUGUAUUAAAUAUUUAUUUAGGGCUGACUUUUAGCUCCUUUUGCAAUGAUAUUAUAAAGACUGAGUGAUGUUUUCCCGCAAACACACAUUUUACUUUGAACUUAAAUCCAAUUUUGAAAUAAUUGAAAUCAGUUUAAAGGUGAAUUAUCAUGUAUAUGUAGUACAAAGUAAAGAACUUUCCAUCAGCGUUCAUGUAAGAAGCACAACAUUUUGUAUUGUAAUUGGAUGUAAUUAAUUACAAUUUACAAUGUAAUUGAUUACUUUGCUAAAUUAUAUGUAAUGGUAAUUGUAAUUUAAUUGGACAUUUCUCAAUGUAAUUGUAGUUUAGUUUUUUACAAUUUAAAGUAAUUGGCCCCAGGUCUGACUGUUGAUGUUUGAGAAUUCACAUGUAAUACAAGCGGUAUUCUGAAGAGAUAUAUGUAGAUAUGUAGAAGAGACAUAUGAGCAUACAUACAAGAUGGAAACACUUUAUAUGUGAUGUUUGCAAAUGCAUCUGUAAUGCAAGUGAUGUAUGAGAAUACAUACAGCAUGUACAAAAGAGAAGCACUUUACAUGUAUUGCUUGUGAUUUUACAUAGAAUCAAAACAUUUAUUUAAAUAGACAAAAGAGAAUAUAUAUAUAAUGUUAUUUUAGAUAAAGACGUUUAAAUUUUGAAGAAAUAGGAUCGUUAGGUACAAAUUUUUCUGUGUGUGGAGGGGUGAAAUGAGGGGAAGUAAUUUUAAACCAUUUAACAUUGUUCCUUCCAGUCACAAAAGGAAAAGGAACGGAAGGAAAAAAAUACAAAAGAUAUUAUCAAACUAGUAUAAUAGAUCAUGUAAGACUGAUUUGGUUUCAUUUACUUACUUCCAUUUUAAUAAAUGGUCAAUAUUUUUCAAACAAUCAUUUUACAUAUGAUAUCUAACUUUUAACAAUCUGCUUUAACAGAUAAGAAGUGAGGAUGCAUUAAUUUAAACUUGAAAUGAAAAUGCGCUACAAGAUAGGGUCAAGAGUAGAAGAGAAAUAGUUUUUAUUUACGUCAAAUACCGGUAUUGACAGCAUGCACGUAAUAUAAACUCGCUUUGACGUUGUGUCCAAUGGACUUCUACGUAAAACGACUAUUAGAUAAAUGACAAGCACAAAACACCACCUCCUACAUUAUAUACUAUUCGAUUAGUAUGAAGGUAUAGACAGCUACCGAUUACUGUUUCUAUUUCUAGUGAUUUUAUUGACUAGAUCUAGGUGCAAUUUUCAAAAUUUAAAAUCCCCUUACCAGCUACAGUUGAUUCAUACAUGCAUAUUUAAGAUGUAUUGUUGCUGAUUAAUGCGGAUAAUAUAGAAUGAAAAAUAAGAUUGAAGGAAAACCAUUUUGGUACUACAUAGUUUAAUAGUGUAAAAUUAUAAUGUCAUUAUUAACAUUAGCCAGAAGAUCCAUGUUAAUGGUGAAUCCAGUUGGUGUUUUUUAGUAGAAAUUCUAAUAUGGCUUGAUUUAAUUUCCAGUUUAACCAGAGAAGGAAAUCAAGCUCUGUAUAUUCUGCGAUAAACAACGGUUGACGCACGGACCGGUAAGAGAGCAUUAUGACGUCAAUUAUGAUCGUUCAGAUGCUUCAGUAUUUAACCACUCGGGCUAACGCCCUCGUGGUUCAAUUACUACGCAUCUGAACUCUGAACCGUGUUAAAUUAGACGAUAAACAACUGGAAGGCCUUGAUUAUUUGUUAAUUCUACUCUAUUAAUCUAUGUAAUACCAAAAUGGUAUAUAUAUAAUAUACUCCACCUUGAAACAAAAUGCCGAUAUAAUAACACUACUCAUAUUUAAGCUAGUGAUAACUGGCAAAUAAACGUGUUGGCUACAUAUGUCGCUAAUGCUUAUCAGAUUCUACAAGCACUAAAUGAAAAGUUAAAUAUAUAGCACAAAUAUUUUUGUUUACGAGUUCUUUGUAGAAAAAACUACAGGUAUAUUCAUAGCUUGAACAAGUUACAAUAGUUGUUUUUAGUUUAUCACCCAAUCGAGCUAAUAUCAAAUUCACUAAGUAAGUUAAUAAUAAAUGUACACUGCCUA